CACGUAGGGCGCAAGCGUUGUUCGGAUUCAUUGGGCGUAAAGAGCUCGUAGGCGGUCUGUCGCGUCUGCUGUGAAAACCUGGGGCUUAACCCCGGGCCUGCAGUGGGUACGGGCAGACUAGAGUGUGGUAGGGGAGACUGGAAUUCCUGGUGUAGCGGUGAAAUGCGCAGAUAUCAGGAGGAACACCGGUGGCGAAGGCGGGUCUCUGGGCCAUAACUGACGCUGAGGAGCGAAAGCGUGGGGAGCGAACAGG
rnacentral:rRNA from 1 species